AGGAGGAAGCCACGGCUAACUACGUGCCAGCAGCCGCGGUAAUACGUAGGUGGCGAGCGUUGUCCGGAUUUACUGGGCGUAAAGGGUGCGUAGGCGGAUGUUUAAGUGGGAUGUGAAAUCCCCGGGCUUAACCUGGGGGCUGCAUUCCAAACUGGAUAUCUAGAGUGCAGGAGAGGAAAGCGGAAUUCCUAGUGUAGCGGUGAAAUGCGUAGAGAUUAGGAAGAACACCAGUGGCGAAGGCGGCUUUCUGGACUGUAACUGACGCUGAGGCACGAAAGCGUGGGUAGCAAACAGGAUUAGAUACCCUGGUAGUCCACGCCGUAAACGAUGGAUACUAGGUGUAGGGGGUAUCAACUCCCCCUGUGCCGCAGUUAACACAAUAAGUAUCCCGCCUGGGGAGUACGGUCGCAAGAUUAAAACUCAAAGGAAUUGACGGGGGCCCGCACAAGCAGCGGAGCAUGUGGUUUAAUUCGAAGCAACGCGAAGAACCUUACCUGGACUUGACAUCCCUUGCAUAGCCUAGAGAUAGGUGAAGCCCUUCGGGGCAAGGAGACAGGUGGUGCAUGGUUGUCGUCAGCUCGUGUCGUGAGAUGUUAGGUUAAGUCCUGCAACGAGCGCAACCCUUGUUAUUAGUUGCUACCAUUAAGUUGAGCACUCUAAUGAGACUGCCUGGGUAACCAGGAGGAAGGUGGGGAUGACGUCAAAUCAUCAUGCCCCUUAUGUCCAGGGCUACACACGUGCUACAAUGGUAGGUACAAUAAGACGCAAGACCGUGAGGUGGAGCAAAACUUAUAAAACCUAUCUCAGUUCGGAUUGUAGGCUGCAACUCGCCUACAUGAAGCUGGAGUUGCUAGUAAUCGCGAAUCAGAAUGUCGCGGUGAAUACGUUCCCGGGCCUUGUACACACCGCCCGUCACACCAUGAGAGCUGGUAACACCCGAAG
rnacentral:rRNA from 1 species